CAAAUCAAAAUUUUUUCCCUUACAAAACCUCUACUAUACACGGUAGCAGUGCAUCCAAUUGCUUUUUAUGUGAGUGAGAUAAGUACAACUUCAAAAGCAGACGUAGAAAAAAUAGUUGUAUUCGAGAGGAAGGUCUUUUACAGGCUUAUAGAACGACGAACCAAUUUAAAGCUCUGAGAAAUGUUCGGUGAAGUGGAAGUAGUUACAAUGAUGAAGAGCAAACGUAUUAGCUGGGUAGGACAUAUUAUAUCGAACACGGGAUCAGAUAGUCCGAUAGUCCGAAAGGUAACAUGAUUGAUUCCUUAUGGAAAGACACCACUAAGACAA